UGCCAGUUCCUUCCUUGCUGCUGCCGACCUGCCGAACAGUCCUGGGCUCUGCAGAGAGGAGGCCGCUGCUGGCACUUAGCGCAAAGGGCAGGGGUUUGCUCGCAAUAAGGAGGAACAGCAAGAGAGACAAAGAUUCAAGUACCUUACUCCACAGUACAUAGGAACAGCAAUAGAGACAACAGGUCAAGUGUGAAUAUAUGAAGGAGGAAGUCGGGGAAUCUGCUGAAGAUGAGGCGACUGAAUCGGAAGAAGACCCUGAAUUUGAUGAAAGAGUUGGAUGCUUUUCCAAAGGUUCCUGAGAGCUAUGUACAGACUUCAGCUAGUGGAGGAACAGUUUCCCUUAUAGCAUUUACAACUAUGGCUUUCUUAACAAUAAUGGAGUUUAUGGUGUAUCGGGACACGUGGAUGAAAUAUGAAUAUGAAGUAGACAAGGAUUUUACUAGUAAAUUAAGAAUCAACAUAGAUAUUACAGUUGCUAUGAAGUGUCAAUAUGUGGGGGCUGAUGUUUUGGACUUGGCAGAAACAAUGGUUGCUUCUGCAGAUGGGCUAGCAUAUGAACCAGUAAUAUUUGAACUCAGUCCCCAGCAAAGAGAGUGGCAAAGGAUGCUGCAGUUAAUUCAGAGUAGGCUGCAGGAAGAACACUCUCUUCAAGAUGUAAUAUUCAAAAGUGCUUUUAGAAGUGCUUCAACAGCACUACCACCAAGGGAAGAUAAUUCCUUACAGCCUCCAGAUGCAUGCCGGAUUCAUGGCCAUCUUUAUGUCAAUAAAGUGGCAGGGAACUUUCACAUAACCGUGGGCAAGGCAAUCCCUCAUCCCAGAGGCCAUGCACACUUGGCAGCCCUUGUGAGCCAUGAAGCAUACAACUUCUCUCAUAGAAUAGAUCAUUUGUCUUUUGGAGAGCUUAUUCCAGGAAUUAUUAAUCCUUUGGAUGGAACAGAAAAAAUUGCAUCAGAUCACAACCAGAUGUUCCAAUAUUUUAUCACAGUUGUGCCAACAAAACUCCAUACGUAUGAAAUUUCAGCAGAAACUCAUCAGUUUUCUGUGACAGAAAGGGAAAGAGUCAUAAACCAUGCAGCUGGCAGCCAUGGGGUGUCAGGAAUAUUCAUGAAAUAUGACAUCAGUUCGCUUAUGGUGACAGUGACAGAAGAACACAUGCCCUUUUGGCAGUUCUUAGUGAGACUCUGUGGUAUUAUUGGAGGAAUUUUCUCAACUACAGGCAUUUUACAUGGCAUUGGAAGAUUCAUAGUGGAAAUCAUCUGCUGUCGUUUCAGAUUGGGCUCAUAUAAAUCUAUAUCGGUCCCACUUCCUGAUGGCUACAUAAACAACCACUUACCUCUAACUACAGACAAUGAACAGAAGAUCUGUCUGCUACGUGACAAAUAAAAAAUGGAGAUCAGAGGACAAAGAAGAGAUUGGAGGAACAAAUAGCUAAGAACAGCAAGGCAGCUUCUUGCUAAAUUCCACACGAAGCACAGAUUUUGGCAAGUCAAUAAGUUGACUGGUCCAUCCGGGGAACUGGAGACAAUCUCCAAGAAACAGGCCACAGUCAGAGACAGAAUACAAGACAGGGUGGACAAAUCAUCUGACCUGCUAUCUUCCUAGAGGAAAUUCAAGUGAUGUUUCAGAGGGAAAACCAGGAAAAAAAAUGGAAUAUAGCAACCUUGUAUCCUAUAUCAUGGCCACAGAUGGGAAUGAAUUGCAACAGCGUUCAGCAGAUACAUUUGUUCAGGUUUCCCUUCAUAGGGGUUCAGCUGCUUGAGUUUUGGUUUUUGCAGAGGCUUGCUUGCUUAUGGCUUUACAUUAAACUUGCUUGAUAACCUCUUUAUACUUGCAGCCCUCAGAACAUUAUUCUUUUCCAGUUUCAGUGCACAGAUAUCCUGCUUGUACCAGGUGGGCUGUAGUUUGUUGCACUUCCUUAUUUUAGCAGCUGGUUGGGUUAGUUGCAGCUGCACUGGUUUGGAGUCUUGCAACAACUUUACCUCUUUCCUUUGCCUCUGUGGUGCUAAGUAAAGGGAAUAAGGUUCAGAUGAGUGUAUGACAGGAAGAAGGAAGCUCACUUUUUCUUUUUAAAGUAAAGUUUAGAAUGCAUUAACUGGGAUGAAAUUUGAGGGAAUUGUUACCUCUAGCAGAAAACAGGACUGGAUUAACAAAACUGGCAGAUUUUUUUUCCCUGUAAGAUGUACUGAACUGCCUUCCCCACCUCCACCAUCCCCUUCCAGACCUGAUCUGUUUAAAAAUCAGUGAAGCUUUUUAAAGCAACCAUUCAAAUCAUAGGACCUCAACAUUUCCCACUUGGAUAGAAACCAUCCAUUUGUUCAAGUAUGUGUCCAUUUUGUAGGGUCAGGAGGGGUGCUUGGCUGUACCUUGGUAAUGUUGAGUCUGUAUCUGUUGUUUAAGUGUUUAUAAGGUGGCUCGUUUGAGGCUUGUGAAGCCACAAGUUUGACAGGUUAAAAAUUAUUCAGAUAAGAAACGGGCUCUUGUCUGUACUGAGCAAAGAAAUUGCUGUGCAGUGACUGUAUUAAAUGGCUUGGUGUCUCAUCCUUGCAGCAGUUUAGUGCAUCUCUGCUGUUAUUGAACGAGCCAGACUACAAGGCUUGUAUUACAUCCAUGGGACCUGUGCACUCCAUUUUAUAGUGCCCACUAUUGCUGCUGGUGGAGCUACUUUGGCUGGUCAGCAGUGUGGCAACCUCAAGCAAUGAUGUUCCCCACUGGCUGUAUCCCAGUGAGGAAUUCUCUUUCAGAGAGUCCUUUGACCCUCUGGAUUCAAGACUUGCUUGUGUGGCUACUUACUCAUCACAACUGGAUGUUUUUACAGAGUGAACUCAGGUGUGAUCAGCUGCACAGACUAUCUAUAUUGGAGGUAAUAAUUCAUGGGAUAACCAAACAAAUUUCUGAAGUGGAGCUGAAGGCAAAGAUGGAAGAUUUGGUAUAAAGAAUGCGAAGUCACUCCUCUAAGAAAUGAAAAUAAACUGUGCAAGUACAAAGCUUGGGGAUGUAACUAAGGUCACCAGUCACAUCCUUGGCAUUAAUGUUACUCCAUAAUAUAUUUUAAAUGUAACAGAGCACUAUUGUUAUUUGGGAAGAUGUAUCAGAACUGCUCAGUUUGGAGGGAAGUUGUCCAUGGAAAAAGCUCUGUCCCUGCCUUAAAUGUUGUUCCACGAAAUAAGAACAGUUGUACAAUAUGCACCUGUUCUAGCCAUGAUACUUUACUCCAGGCACUUAGUUCUCUUAUGUACUUCCAUUAUAAUUCCUUUGGUUCUAGCUCUGUGCAGGUGUUGGGUCUCAGGCAGUAACCUGGUAUUUUGAUGUGUUGCAAAAUACUUGUUUGCAUACAUUUUUAUAACUUAUGCAAAUCCCCAGCAAACAAGAACAUGUCACAGAGCCUUGGUGAACUCUGCUCACCCAGUGCUCUUCUCCAUUUAAGACUAAACAUUUUUGUAUUCUGUCUCCUGCCUCAGCAAGUAUCAGUGGGCUGCUGCAGUUAACGCUGGUGUUGAAUCCAACAGGAGUGACUAGACUAAUAGGAAUUACCAGUACUCCAUUUCAUCUCACUGCCGUGGCUCUUUUCCUUGUCUCCUGAGGACACCCAGCUCCUGCUGGGCUGGGGACGAAACUGUAAGAUUUUUUUUUUUUCCUUAGCUCCUGCAAGAUUUUGCAAGAAAUUUUUGAGACUUCAGCAGUAAGUGUUGCUGUUCGUGUAUAAAAACCUGCUUGCACCUAGCAGUGCCUGAUGGUACAAGACUUUUGCUAUCCACAACAGAGCUGAAUGCUAAGUAAGGUACCAUCGAGUUCUGGCACCAAGGAUGUGCCACCUUUUUUCACUGCCAGUGUCUUAUCCAAAACUUGCGACACUUGCAGUGAGAAUUGAGACUAGCAGAAGGGGGCCAGUAAUAGGCUAUAUUAAAGAGUAAUAAUGUAACAUCAUUUGCUCUUGGUUUACUCCAGUGGCAGCUCCAGCACACCAUGGCACAUCAUUAUGCAUAACAGCUUGACCAGUGCUAUACCAGCCUGGGGGAAUAAAAGGACAGUUUUCUGGAUACUUGAGUUCCUUGCUUAGAUUAAGUAAAAAUGGUGCUGGUCUUUUGCUCUGAGAGCCCACUGAAUCAGAUUAUUUUACAUUGCAAAUGCUCCAUAGAAGACUGUUGCCUGUUUUGUUCCCCUGUAUUCUAAUGUGUAUGAAGUAGUUUGUGAUAGAAGAAGGAACAGCAAAUGUUUUUAUUUUGGUCCUUUCAGCGACAAGAGAGAGAGCAUGAUCUCCUUUGCUGGGAAGAGGUAUAGCUGAAAUUCCUCACAGCUCCCUGCACAUGGGAAUUAUAAAAUAGAAUUAAAGUGGUGUCUUUUCUCCCUCUUCCAUCUCCUGCCUGCUUCCCAUGAGCUUUUUUUAAAUCUUUGUUCAAGGGCCAGAUAAAUUAUAGCUGAGGAAGGUCCAAACUUUGUGUUUGUGGUUUUUAUUGAUAGACACUAACAGUAAUAAGGAAUCUGAUUUUUUUUUUGGUCUUUUUCCCCCCAUUGCACCAUCUUGAUCUCCCCCACUCACAACACACAUGCAUUCACAAUAACUAGUAAAUUAGGUUUUUGUAUGAUGAUGCUAUGCGCAGCAUAUUGCUGCAUUUCCUAUGACAACUGCAAGCUAAUCUAUAAAUGUUUUAUGUAUUUGUCAGAAAAUGCUGGCCUAUGCUUCCUUGCAGCCUUUUCAGUCAUUUCCCAUGAGCAUUAGAAGAGGUGAGUGAAUAGAGAAGGAAAGUAGUUUUGUAAGAGCCAGGUUCAUUUAUUGUUCUGCCAGUGACAUGCUUUGUGGCUCUGGCUGAGCCACAUUGCCUUUUCAUGUCCUGGGGCUAAUGACAUUUACCUGCCUCAAAUGGCUGCUGUGAGUGUAGAUUAAUAUUUAUGAUGCACUCUGAAGGUAGAAGCAUUAUUGAUGCCGUGGAAACCUUUUGGUAUGGGAGUGCACAGCACAUAUUUGUGUCCCAUUAUUGUCAGGCUUAUUUUUCUGCCUGCUGCUACAAAGAAUCAACAGUUGAUGUCAACUUAAUUUUAAUGACUAUUUUUUUGUUUGUUUUAAAUCUUCAAAAAAAAAAAAAAUAUAUAAAAAAAAAAAAAUCCAGUGACUGUUCCCAGCUCCACAGUAUUAUCACUAUUUUAUUGUACAAAAGCCAUGGAAUUUGAAGAUGUGCUCUUUUGUUGCACUGUGUCUGUAAUAUAGGUCAUAAACUGAAAAUAUUGGUCACAAGGUUUUUCAGUCCGUUUCACUGGGUGUUUAAGCAAGAAUAAUUGCUGCAGUGGAAAUUUUCCAGAGAACUGUAUUUUGAAGUCCUUGUCAGUAUUGUAAAAACAUUUUGGGGUGUCAUUUCAGGAAAUAAAAGAUUGCAGGUGUUACAGCAGUAUUUAUUGCUGGAUGAUUAAAUAAACUGCAGAUGUAAAAGCUGCUACCUAGCUGUUAGCUCUGUCAAAUUCCUGUCAAUAAAUAGCAGGAGCUAUGAAAGUCUGAACAUUUUUACUUGGUGUGUUUAUAAAUGCCACUAUACAAUUUAAAAUAAGCAGGU